AUUGAACGCUGGCGGCAGGCCUAACACAUGCAAGUCGAGCGGAUGAAGGGAGCUUGCUCCUGGAUUCAGCGGCGGACGGGUGAGUAAUGCCUAUGAAUCGGCCUGGUAGUGGGGGAUAACGUCCGGAAACGGGCGCUAAUACCGCAUACGUCCUGAGGGAGAAAGUGGGGGAUCUUCGGAUCUCACGCUAUCAGAUGAGCCUAGGUCGGAUUAGCUAGUUGGUGGGGUAAAGGCCUACCAAGGCGACGAUCCGUAACUGGUCUGAGAGGAUGAUCAGUCACACUGGAACUGAGACACGGUACAGAGUCUUAGGGGAGGCAGCAGUGGGGAAUAUUGGACAAUGGGGGAAAGCCUGAUCCAGCCAUGCCGCGUGUGUGAAGAAGGUCUUCGGAUUGUAAAGCACUCUAAGUUGGGAGGACGGGCAGUAAGUUAAUACCUUGCUGUUUUGACGUUACCAACAGAAUAAGCACCGGCUAACUUCGUG
rnacentral:rRNA from 1 species